GACGAACGCUGGCGGCGUGCUUAACACAUGCAAGUCGAGCGAUGAAGUUCCUUCGGGAAUGGAUUAGCGGCGGACGGGUGAGUAACACGUGGGUAACCUGCCUCAUAGAGGGGAAUAGCCUUUCGAAAGGAAGAUUAAUACCGCAUAAGAUUGUAGUGCCGCAUGGCAUAGCAAUUAAAGGAGUAAUCCGCUAUGAGAUGGACCCGCGUGGCAUUAGCUAGUUGGUGAGGUAACGGCUCACCAAGGCGACGAUGCGUAGCCGACCUGAGAGGGUGAUCGGCAACAGUGGGACUGAGACACGGCCCAGAAUCCUACGGGAGGCAGCAGUGGGGAAUAUUGCACAAUGGGGGAAACCCUGAUGCAGCAACGCCGCGUGAGUGAUGACGGUCUUCGGAUUGUAAAGCUCUGUCUUCAGGGACGAUAAUGACGGUACCUGAGGAGGAAGCCACGGCUAACUACGUGCCAGCAGCCGCGGUAA
rnacentral:rRNA from 1 species